rnacentral:tRNA from 1 species
UAAGUCAAAUUAAUAUUAGUUUUUAUUUACAAUAAAAUUUAAAAUUGUUAGAUCAAUUUAAUUUGA